CACUCCCACCCCAGCCGCCAAACGAACCCUAGCCCUCUUUCUCCUUCCCCUCGAUCCCCAUGAGCCGCCGCGCCCCUCCCUCGAUCCCUAGUUCCCCACGAUCCUCUCCUAGCCCGCAGCCACCGGCCUUGUCUCUCCACUCGCCUCCUCCUUUCCUCUACCAUGUCGUUGUCGAUCCCACCGCCGGCCUUCUCCUCUGCUUGCCUCCUCCAGUCCUCUUCCAUGUCACCGUCGAUCCAGAUCGGACCCUCUCCUUGCGCGCCCCGUGUUCCCCCUUCCAGCCGAUUGGGCACAACCGCACCAACCCUAGCCCCCGAUGCAGCCAUCCACUCCUCCCUCCUCCCCCUCCCCCUCCCACAGCCAUCGCACCCAUCACUUGGCCCCCUGGCGACGCCCGGGUCGGGCCUAGGAAGAAGGUCCGGGCCUGCGAGGGAAAGCAGCGAGGGUUGGUGCAACGGCAAAUGCAGGCGGGAUCUGCCGUGGAGGGAGGCUCGUCAGCCGGAACAACAGGAGCAAGGAGGUCGUGCAGGCGCAAAUGCUGGCGGGGUCGGCCAUGGAAGAAGGCUCGCUGGACGGAGCAUCAAGACCAGGGAAGUCGAGGUGGUUCAGGUUUGCCUCUAUCUCCUCCCCACUCUAUCUUUGCCCUCUCUCUUAUUUUCCCCUUUGUCUUGUGGAUAAGGGCGUCAGUGCACCACGAGGAGUAGAUCGAGCGUGGAACAUAGCAGCAGGAUCAAGGAGCUGCUGGUGGUUCUGGCAACAAGGAGGAUGAUCAAGAAGGAUUGGGGAACACCAGCAAAAAAAGUACUGGGGAAGACGGGCGGGAUGAAGGCAUGGAGAUCGUUGUUUGGCGCCAACGUGCGUUUGGUGUUGAUUGCUGGCUGGCUGACUGCGGUGUGCUACUGGCGAUGAGAUCCAGGAGGAGGUGGCGGCGGACAGGAGACGAGGACCUUUUUGCUUGCAUUCUCGUGUCUUUUGGCAAGGAGAAAAUUAUCAUUUGGAGGGGAAAAGACACAUGAAAACAUGCAAGAUAGUAUAUGCAAUUGGCAUACCCUUCAGUUCUUGAAUAAGAGUUCAGUGGUGAAGAACACUACAAUUUUUUGGUUGAUGGAUUGGUCUGAAUAUAUUGUAAGGUAUUUUCCAUGAAGUGGUUAUUCAAAGAAUGGAACCGAUUUUAUGAUUUUACUGAAUGGAUAUGUUAUAACCUCCAUGAUAUUUGAGUGGUCCAGAAUCAAGACCCAUUUUACCCUUCGAUGAACAAUGCAAGAUUUUGCCUAUUCUCUGAGAUGGAUGAUGAUGAGCGGUGCAACCAAAAAUUCAGAGCUGGGCUUUACAAACUUCAGUGGGAGUAGCAUGACAACACCAAGGUAGAGACCUGAAGAGAAGCAAGGGGUUGGACCAAGGAAACUAGAACCAUGUUGUCGUGAUGUGGGUCGUGUCGUCUUCGUCCAUCUCCAUGGAGGUAUAUAUACACAGGUUAGGUAUAGGAAAGGAUACCGUCUCCAUGGAACUUUGACUGAUGUGUAAUGUCCUCAUAGGACUGGACCAUUUACAGAGGGAGUACUUGAAAAUAGAUUCUUUAUAUAUUGUUUGGUUCCAUCAGUCGCAUAACUUAAAUUAGCAAUUAGGUAUCUAAACAGUGUAGUGUAACCAUUGUGCUUGCUGCAGUUUUACUUUAGUGUUGAAAUGUUUUUGUUAGCUUGUUCUGUACUACGAAAUAUUUUUGUUUUCCCAGCCAUUGUUUUCUAAAUCCUAUCAGCACAUUACCUGAUAUGGCCUUUGAAGUUUAUGUUUUAUAACGAGCUUUGCACCUAUCAACUUGAGUAUGGUAUCGUUUAUUCUUUUCUAUUGCGGAUAUUCCAGAGAAAUUUAGAGCUCCACAACCUUCUGAAGACUUAGCAGAGAUGAAGCAAUCAAUCAGUUGAGAUGCACCACAUGAUCUUUUUCUCUUGACAUUGAUGGGUAUUGAACCCAUAGAUCAGCUUAUCAAUGGAACUCUUAUCGAGUUGAGAAGGUGUCACAAAAACUAAAGAGCAGUUUUAACAUGGUCCCUGAUUAACUCUUACCUCCUUACCUAUUAUGUGAAGGGGGUAAGAGGGACCUUGUUAAAAUUAGCGAAAACUCAAAAACAGGGCGAUUAGCUAAGGAAAGAAGCUAAGAAGCAUCAGGAAGGACUUUUAGGAUGGUACCGCGGUCAAUGAGGGACGGAUUGGUUUUUGCUAACUCAUUGGGGAUUAGCUGUUUGGAGGCGGAAUCUGAUUCUCUAUAAGUCAUCAAUUUUUGCUCGGGCCAAACAAGAUGGUGGGACGAAGCGGCAACGCUUUUUGCAGAAUGUGUGGAUUUAAGCACAUCGACCGGGAAGGUCAUCUACAAGCAUUGUUUACAUUCUUGUAACCGUGCAGCAUGUGCUAGCAAACUUCAGUUAUUGUAAUAGGCUUCUUAUAUUUGGUUA